UGAUCAGCCACACGGGCACUGAGACACGGGCCCGACUCCUACGGGAGGCAGCAGUAAGGAAUAUUGGACAAUGGACGCAAGUCUGAUCCAGCCAUGCCGCGUGAAGGAUGAAUGCCCUCUGGGUUGUAAACUUCUUUUACAGGGGAAGAAAGUUAUCUUUUUUAGGAUAUUUGACGGUACCCUAUGAAUAAGCACCGGCUAACUCCGUGCCAGCAGCCGCGGUAAUACGGAGGGUGCAAGCGUUAUCCGGAUUCACUGGGUUUAAAGGGUGCGUAGGCG
rnacentral:rRNA from 1 species